CUCGAUGCACUAUCCUCGCGGCUUUCGUGUAAAGCUACGCUGCUCGCUAAUGUUCGAUAUUAUUCAAAUUUUCUUUCCGACCGGUGUUUCGUACGUAACGGAUCGCUUUAAUCUAGUCUCAGUGAUCUUUCUGAACGUUAUUUAUGGUUCCGGAACGUAGAAAGCGUUAUUGCGUGCAAGGCACGCGUUUGCCAAUAUCUAAGUGACCUCACUGCCGGUACUCUUUUGUUCUUUCUAACCGAAGGUCGAUACCGUUCGAAUCGCACUUUCUCAUUGAUCUUCCAAACUCUCUUCGAAGGACCUUCAUAAAUUAUUCUCUUUUAAAAGAAAUUCUUCUUUUCUAGAUCGCUAUUAUUUUUCAUUUAAACGACUUUCAUGGUAACAUAACGAAAUCGAGCUCGUAAAAAAUUUCUCAAAUCUAUGUGUAUACUUUAUACGUUUUAUUAUUAAAUGCAAACUGAAUAAGAAAUGAAAGAAAAUGACGACGGCGAUGAUAUCAGCUGUAGGAAAUAUAACGAGCGGAAAAAUAUCGUGAUGACGUGACACGAACGCUGCAUAAAUUUGAUGGAAUAUUCCUAUAAUUGCAUCGGAAUGGAGACAUUAAGAGGAUUGUAAAAAACUAGAAGCCGAUGAAGUCGCGUAAAAGGGGAAAAGAAGAAUAACUACGAGCGCACUAAAACGAAGAGGUAUUCAAGAGUCCGUAAUGUUCUCAGAAACGGUACUGAAUUUCUGGGAAGGAGACCUUAUCUAGCAAGCACAGAUAGCAGCCAAUAACGACAACGACGAAGACGACAACGAGGUUGAGGUGAAGGAGAAUGAAGAGGAAAAGAAAAAUACAACGACAGAAACGCAAAAAGUUACAUGUGUUAGAUGGCACACCGACUAAUAGUGCAAGAGGUCUUAUUCCGAUGAGAAUAUAUGAAGCGACACGAAGGGAAACAAGCGAAACUCAGUUGUUCGCUGACUGCACUAUAAAAUACAUCGUAAAAGGGAAGAAAAAAACUGGACAAAAGUGAAAAAACGGAUCGAAAGAACAAACGAGAAGUGUCUCUUUUGCGAAAAUGUCCAUAGUUAUCCAAAACGAACGAGUUGAGUGAGUAUCGGUCAAUCUUUUCAUUUAUUAUUCUCGCAAAUUAUCUUCUUUUUAAUAUUUAAACUUAAAUAAGUGCAAAUAUUUUUAGCCGACACUAUGUUGACAGGUUCUACUUCGUGAAAUUCUCAGCACUAUUUCGAUAGAACUAUUGGACGUAUAAUCAUAAAUUUUAUAGGAACCGGUCCGCGAAUUUAUUUUCUGUCUUUUAAACUUCUUAAAUAUGGAAGAACGAAGGACACGUUUCUACUAUAUUAUUUAAUGAUAUACAAAAAAAAAUAGAGAGAGAGAGAGAGAACUCGUAAGUGAAUGGAACGAUCGUAGAUAAAAAAAAAAAAAAAAGAAUUUUGAAAAAGUCGCUAAAAUAAUCAUGCAAAUUUUAAUCGAAUUACUUGAUUUUAUGUAAUUUAUGCGACAUCUACGUUGUUUCGAAUUCGACUCGACAAAUUUUACUGAAAUAC